GCCGAGAGCGCCACCUGGUGAUUCCAGUUAAAGGAAGACACCGAAGGUAACCACACCUGAACAGAUCCUUUCAUAAGAUAAUGUCAGGCUCAUUCACAUUUCAAAGACAUCUAUUUACAAGUUAAUUUCUCUUCUAGUUCCUGACCCAUUCAUUUCCCUAGUCAUCCUUUAUUUUCCCCGAAUUCCUUUUUUCCCUCCAAUAACCCGUUUUGCCAGGAUGGAAGCCCCUGUCUUUCUGUAAUCUCAAAAUGAUAUUUAAUGUUUCACAUUCCCUUGAGGUGUGGGUAAUUCCUCUGUAGUUU
rnacentral:lncRNA from 1 species